UACGGGGGGGGGCAAGCGUUGUUCGGAAUUACUGGGCGUAAAGGGCUUGUAGGUGGCCAACUAAGUCAGACGUGAAAUCCCUCGGCUUAACCGGGGAACUGCGUCUGAUACUGGAUGGCUUGAGUGUGGGAGAGGGAUGCGGAAUUCCAGGUGUAGCGGUGAAAUUCGUAGAUAUCUGGAGGAACACCGGUGGCGAAGGCGGCAUCCUGGACCGGCAUUGACGCUGAGGCGCGACAGCGUGGGGGAGCAAACAGG
rnacentral:rRNA from 1 species